GAAAUCACUGAAGUAACUGAUCACAUCAGACUGAGCAAGGAAAAGACAUUCUAAUUGAAGGUCAAGAACCAAACAGAAAAUUAGAAGGUACAGAAAUAAUGUACAGCCAGGUUUAGACUGUAUUGAGCCAUUAAUGAAAAGACAGAAGAUGAGUAAAUACUUGCACUACAUCUGAGGUGAAAAAAAUGUCUUGCUAUUAUAUAGCACUGCGUUAAUACGGGUUUUCAAAUCUUCUUCUUUUAGAAGAACCACCAGCCUCCCUUCUCCAACAUUCAGCACAGGACACCGAUAAGCAGGUAUUACAGCAACACGGAAUCCUUCUACAUCCUACCAAGGCAGAGAAGUGGUGUGCUGAGAACCAACUUGUGUUCAGAAUUAACUCUUGGAAGCAGCCAGCAGGGCGGCCAUCU